UAAUGUCUACUAUGAACACCCAGCUGAUUCCACGCAGCUGCUAUGGUCCAAAAACAGAGCCCAGAGUAACUUUCUUCCCUGAUAGUCUGUGACGGGUUGCAACGUUUGGAGGAAAUCCAGUU